GUCAAAUUAAAUGCUUCAAUCAUGCAUUUGACUGGACCACACAAGGAAAGCGGUGAUGUGACAGGAGCAUUGAAGCCUCUCAAUUCCAGGUAAGUUAAUGCUCAUUUUAUUUUAAUUGAAAUAACAGAGGGAGACCAGGUCAGUAAUGCCAACAGGAUAUUUAGAAUAAGAAGAUUGUUUUAAUGAAAAGAGGUUGGUGUAACACUUUAAAAUAUGAACUCCAACCUGAUACAAUCAGCAUUCACAGAGAAUAAUUGUAACAAAAGCAGAUAUAAAUGCUACCACAAUGAAAUGUUUGUGUGUGCUCCGACAGUUUGUAACAUUUCGUACACCCUAACUUCCUUAGAUUGAAACCACAAGAUAGCUAAUUUUCAGUAACAUAUUUUACUAGCUCAUCAAGAGCAAAAUUAUUUUCAUUUUGCAGCUUUCACAGAGUAUGUAAAACACAUUUUAUCUUUGCUAAUUUGUGCUGUCUAGUUCCAUUGUUAAAACAAUCUCAGUUGGGCUGCCAGGUACAGUAUAAAGAAAGCAUAAUAAAAAACGAAAUCCAGUAAUGUGCUAAGUACUGAACAGGUCCAGAGGGGUGCGCAUUACAACAUAAAUGACCCUAUAUGUAGACACACUCAUACAAAUGAUAACUAUACUGCAAGUGACAAGAGCUCCUUAGAACAGAGAACAGAGAUGUUAUGAUAUCUGGCAGUGAGGUAUACAAUAAAAGUGCAAAAUUAUCGAGAAUGCCAAUCCCAAGCACCAGUGGAUAUACCCAACGUAAAUAUGCAUGCAUUUAAUUAUGCAUUUUUUUUCUAAAAACAGCUUUCAAAAUCUGCAGAUCUUUUGUCUGAAACUUUUCAAGCCCUCCUUUUCUAACCCCGCCGAGACUAACUGUAGCUGUCCAAUCACAGACUUCCUAUUGCAGCUUAAUAAGAAGUCUCUGCAAAGCAUGUCCUCUAAGUAAUUGCCUGACUGCUGAGUUUAGCUCCACUGAGUUAAACAACCAAACAGUGACAGGUCUGGUUGUCUGAUUGACAUCCAGGGGCUUGUAGCUAGGAUAAUUUAUGAAAGUGCCAAAUAACAUUGAAAUCUGCAGUUAUUGUAAAGUGGAAAAGGUCACAUUCUUCACACAUAAAGUCAUGCCAAACUUACCUUUUCCCAAUCACUUCCUCUUCUUUUCCUCCCAGGCUCUGUUCUUCUUUUCUUCAUAUCUGAUCUAGUUUUCUUUAAAACAUAAGACAAGGUAGGGACUACUUUGUCUUAUGUAUUUGUCCUAUGCUUGACCCGCUUUGACGCAAGAAGGAGUUUAAACUCGCUCCAUUUCCUGUGGUCAAAGAAAGUUUCCCACAAUAAUCACCUCUCCUCCGAACAUCCUGUCAUGUAGACAGGGCACUGGCAAAACUACCUAAUUUCGUCCUAACAGAAUGAGUAUAUGCCAACUAUGCUGCGAGUAGGGGCAUGUCUACUAAACAGUGAGAAGCCUGUGGCACUUAGGGCCUCCUCCUAUUGUUACCUAGGGCGACCUAAGGGAGACAAUUGGUCCUCCCCCCUAAUGUCACUUAGGGCCCCCACCCACCACUUAUGGGUGGCUGUAACUGUGAAUGUCAUAAUACUGUUUGCUUUUACUGCAAUAAAAUGCACAUAUUUGUAUUCAGCGAUGUCUCACAUGGAAAACAGUACCCCAUAUGUACAGGUUUUAUGGUGUUUUGGGAAGUUACAUGGUCAAGUAUAGCAUGUUACAUUUUCCAGUUUUUUCACAUUGAAAUUUGCCAGAUUGGUUACGUUGCCUUUGAGACCGUAUGGUAGCCCAGGUAUGAUGGCAUACCAUUUGCAAAAGUAGACAACCCAAGGUAUUGCAAAUGGGGUAUGUCCAGUCUUUUUUAGUAGCUACUUGGUCACAAACACUGUAAUUCUCAUUCCUGGGCUACCAUACGAUCUCAAAGGCAACGUAACAAAUCUGGCGAAUUUCAAUGUGAAAAAACUGAAACGCAAACCUUAUAUUUUACUCUGUAACUUUUGAAAACAACAUAAAACCUGUAGAUGAGGGGUUCUGUUAUACUCAGGAGUCUUUUUUAGUAGCCACUUGGUCACAAACACUGGCCAAAGUUGAUGUUAAUAUUUGUUUGUGUGAAAAAUGCAAAAAACUAAUUUCAAUGCCAAUUUUGACCAGUGUUUGUGACUAAAUGGCUACUAAAAAAGACUGGACAUACCCCAUCUGCAAAACCUUGGGUUGUAUACUUUUGCAAAUGGUAUGCCAUCAUGGGGGUAAUUCUCAUUCCUGGGCUACAAUACGGUCUCAAAGGCAACGUAACCAAUCUGGCGAAUUUCAAUGUGAAAAAACUGAAACGUAAACCUUAUAGUUGAUUCUGUAACUUUUGAAAACAACAUAAAACCUGUAGAUGAGGGGUACUGUUAUACUCAGGAGACCUCGCUGAACACAUAUAUUAGUAUUUCAAAACAGUAAAAUGUCUGUGUAAGUGCCAUUUGUGUGUGAAAAAUGCAAAAAAAAUUCACUUUCACUGACGAUAUCAUCGUUGUAAUAUAUUUUACUGUUUUGAAACACAAAUAUUUGUGUUCAGCGAAGUCUUCCAAGUAAAUCAGUACCCCCCAUGUACAGGUUUUAUGGUGUCUUGGAAAGUUACAGGGUUAAAUAUAGUGCUAGCAAAUUAAAUUCCCUGGACUUUCGGCCUGGGUUGUCAGGCAGGUCCCGCAAAUUGUAAUUAAUAAAAUUACCUAAUUAUGUAAAUUUAUUACAUAAAUAUAUACGUAGAAUUAUUAUAUAUAUACACAUGUGUAUAUAUAUAUAUACAUAUAUAUAUAUUAUGUAUAAAAAAAAUUUAAUUAUUUUUAUUUAUAUAUAGGUAUAUAUAGUGAUAUAUAUAUAUAUACAUAUAUACUUAUAUAUAGAUAUAUAUUAUUUCGUUCUACGUAUAUUUUGAUAUAUAUAUAUAUAUAUAUAUAUAUAUAUAUAUAUAUAUAUAUAUAAAAUACUGUGUAGGAAAGCACUCACAGGACUUGGUAUGGUUCGAAAAUAGUGCUUCUUUAGUGCAGCAAAAAUUUCAAGUAAAAGUUUUAACGUUUCAGUCCCAUCUGGACUUUUAUCAAGUCCAGAUGGGACUGAAACGUUGACACUUUUACUUGAAAUUUUUGCUGCAAUAAAGAAGCACUAUUUUUGAACCAUACCACGUCCUGUGAGUGCUUUCCUACACUGUAUUUUAUAUUAUGGCCAGGAUUAGCACCAAGGCAUUACAAGACCGGGAGCAGUGAGUGCGGGACACAAGGAGUUUAUAUAUAUAUUAAUUCUAAAAUACAGUUAGAAUGAAAUUACACAUAUAUAUAAAAAUUUAUAUUUUUUGUAAAAACGUAUUUACAUAUUUAUUUAUUUUAUAUUAUAUAUAAAUAUAUAUAUUUAAUCAAUAUCAUUCUAUGUGUAUUAUGAUAUUAUAUAUAUAUAUAUAUAUAUUAAUAUUAAAAUACACUUAGUGUAUGUGUAUUUAUGUGUAUGUACGUAUAUGUGUGUGUGUGUAUAUAUAUAUAUAUAUAUAUAUAUAUAUAUAUAUAUAUAUAUACUUAGAUCAUAUAUAUAACAAAUAUAUAUAUGAUCUAAGUAUAUAUAAUUACAUUUUAAACUGUUUUAAACUGUUUUUUUUUUUUACCGGCAGCAGCUGUAAUGACAGGUACACCCCCUGCUGGCACUGCCUUGGACGGCUCGCGAUCAAUUGGUCCAGGGGGGCCGAAGAGGAAGAAGGGGGACUUCCUGGGCUCCCAGGUGAGUCCCCACAAUGUGAUCGCUGGCGUUUUGAACCAGGUCCCUAUGGACGGCAUAGCACGCCCGCCAUCCUUAAGGGGUUAACUGGGUAUACGCGGGAACUUCAUAGUGCUAUCUAGUGUGGACAGAUGACGUGUACCUUCAUCUACUUCAUAAAGAUGGUGACAUAGUAGACAGAGAUAUAGGGUGUGCCAAAGGAAAAAUAAAAGCAAGUAAGGGAGAAAGAUAAAACAGCUUAGAUAAAACUUUUAAAAUUAUAUAAAAUACAGAUACCUUAAUGCAAUAGCAGCAAACACAAAAUAAAGUUUAACAAUGUAAAUAUGUGAGAGUCUCUAAGUGACCUGAGCAUCCAUGUGAUUAUCAAGCUUGAAGAAGGAGAAAUAUUAAUCCAGUCCCUCAGACACUGUUGGGGGCCGGACAAUAAACAAUAUUAAUGAAUUCCAAUGCACACUGCACACACACGCAUAAGGACAUAAAUACACACACACACAAACAAACAGACAGACACGAACAUAUACAUACAUAUUGAAAUACACACAGACAGACAUGCAUACAUACGCAUACUGACUUACACACACAUACAUACAUACUGACACAUACAUACAAACAUACAUACUGACAUACAUACAUACAUACUGACACACACACACAUACAUAUUAACAUACAUACAUACUGACACACAUACAUACAUACUGAUAGACACACAUACAUACAUACUGACACACAUACAUACAUACAUGCAUACUAAUAGACACACACACAUACAUACUGACAUACAUACAUACUGACACACAUACAUACAUACAUACAUACUGAUAGACACACAUACAUACAUACAUACAUACAUAAUGAUAGACACACACACAUACAUACAUACAUACAUACUGACACACAUACAUACAUACAUACUGACACACAUACAUAUUAACAUACAUACAUACAUACUGACGUACAUACAUACUGACAUACAUAUUAACAUAUAUACAUACAUACAUACAUACAUACUGACAUACAUAUUAACAUACAUACAUACAGACAUUCAUACAUUCAUACAUACUGACAUACAUAUUAACAUACAUACAUAUUAACAUACAUACAUACAUACAGACCUAUAUACAUACAUAUUAACAGACAUACAUACAUACUGACAUACAUAUUAACAUACAUACAUACAUACUGACAUACAUAUUAACAUACAUACAUACUAACAUACAGCUAAUUUUGCUUACCUUUUUUUCAGGUGGAAGGCUGUGGCUGAUGGGAGUCAGCGUGGUUCCCACGGCCUGGCUUUCUUCCAUCCCGUGCGGCACGGAGGGGAGGGGAGCGAGCUGGGAGGAAGUGACGGUCACUUCCUCCCAGCAGUACUUUGCGGCUGAGAUUUUUUUAAAGGGGCCCGGUCGCGCAAUUGCACGGCUGCAGUGCUGACCGGGCCCCUGAAGACACAGGGCCCAUCGGGUGGCCCUAAGUGUGUGGGCCACCCGAUGGGCCCCAACGACGUGCGGGCCCCGGUGCAACUGCACCGGCGGGAGUUUUGCCGCUACACGUGUCACCCCCUGAUGGCGGCCCUGUUUACCCAUAGAGAUGGUGGCGCCCAGGACCAUGGUCCAGGCAUGAAAUAAAGAUUGAAAAAAAGGUUAUAUGGGGGGGCCUAUUGGCAUUUGGGGGUCACUGGGAAGACAAUUAGAUGUAAUGGAGUCUGGAGGGGGGUUUAGAAAAUAACAGAUGCGGCUAUGAGUAAAGUAAUAGGUUGCCAUAAGUCCUGGUUGUUGCAAAUGUUACCUGAACUAGGGUUUUUUUCUGAAUGAAAUUAAAUUUAAGUUUGGUCCUGUCUUUGUUGUUAGCUGGCAUGGUUACAUUCCUUAUAAAUAUACUACUUGAAACGCAUCUGAUCUUUAUCUUCACUGCAAAAAUAAAAUGGGAUGUAAUUGCUUCUUUGCUCUUAACAAGAGUACUGGUAAAGUAAAGCACAGAAUAAUAUAGCCAGAGAUGCAAUAAGCAAGAUAUCUGUUAAUAAAAAUAAGAGAAUGUAGUAUAAAUAAAAGAUUUGAUGGGGAAGGAAAAUAUUAUAUUCCAUGACUCCAUAAUUCACAGACCUCAAUGACAAUUUGAUAAUUUAAUUCUGUAAUCUAAUAAAAUUGUUUUUGAUCACCUUUCACAAUCAAAACUCUCCAUUAUUCACCCAUCCUUUGCUACUGCAUUAAAUGAUAUCCUAAUUUCCAUCUCAUUACAGGCAGUUACUGGUCAUC